rnacentral:snoRNA from 1 species
UGCAGCCCCGUCAGAUUUAGUCCCUUCCUCCUCCGUGGCGGGGGCUGGCCAGCCGGCUGCCGCGGCAGCUUCUGUAGUCUGUGGGACCCCGGGGAUAAAAUCACACCCCAGACGUGG